rnacentral:rRNA from 1 species
GAAGCUUGCUUUCCUUGAUGACGACUGGCGCACGGGUGAGUAACGCGUAUCCAACCUUCCCAUAACUACGGGAUAACCCGUUGAAAGACGGCCUAAUACCGUAUGACAUCGUUUGCUGACAUCAAAUAACGAUUAAAGGUUUAGCGGUUAUGGAUGGGGAUGCGUCUGAUUAGCUUGUUGGCGGGGUAACGGCCCACCAAGGCGACGAUCAGUAGGGGUUCUGAGAGGAAGGUCCCCCACAUUGGAACUGAGACACGGUCCAAACUCCUACGGGAGGCAGCAGUGAGGAAUAUUGGUCAAUGGGCGAGAGCCUGAACCAGCCAAGUAGCGUGCAGGAUGACGGCCCUAUGGGUUGUAAACUGCUUUUAUGUGGGGAUAAAGUGCGUGACGUGUCAUGCAUUGCAGGUACCACAUGAAUAAGGACCGGCUAAUUCCGUGCCAGCAGCCGCGGUAAUACGGAAGGUCCGGGCGUUAUCCGGAUUUAUUGGGUUUAAAGGGAGCGUAGGCUGUCUAUUAAGCGUGUUGUGAAAUAUACCGGCUCAACCGGUGGCUUGCAGCGCGAACUGGUCGACUUGAGUAUGCAGGAAGUAGGCGGAAUUCAUGGUGUAGCGGUGAA